rnacentral:rRNA from 1 species
UCGAACGAUGAAGCCCUUCGGGGUGGAUUAGUGGCGAACGGGUGAGUAACACGUGGGCAAUCUGCCCUUCACUCUGGGACAAGCCCUGGAAACGGGGUCUAAUACCGGAUAACACUCCUGCCUGCAUGGGUGGGGGUUAAAAGCUCCGGCGGUGAAGGAUGAGCCCGCGGCCUAUCAGCUUGUUGGUGGGGUAAUGGCCCACCAAGGCGACGACGGGUAGCCGGCCUGAGAGGGCGACCGGCCACACUGGGACUGAGACACGGCCCAGACUCCUACGGGAGGCAGCAGUGGGGAAUAUUGCACAAUGGGCGAAAGCCUGAUGCAGCGACGCCGCGUGAGGGAUGACGGCCUUCGGGUUGUAAACCUCUUUCAGCAGGGAAGAAGCGAAAGUGACGGUACCUGCAGAAGAAGCGCCGGCUAACUACGUGCCAGCAGCCGCGGUAAUACGUAGGGCGCAAGCGUUGUCCGGAAUUAUUGGGCGUAAAGAGCUCGUAGGCGGCUUGUCACGUCGGAUGUGAAAGCCCGAGGCUUAACCUCGGGUCUGCAUUCGAUACGGGCUAGCUAGAGUGUGGUAGGGGAGAUCGGAAUUCCUGGUGUAGCGGUGAAAUGCGCAGAUAUCAGGAGGAACACCGGUGGCGAAGGCGGAUCUCUGGGCCAUUACUGACGCUGAGAGAGCGAAAGCGUGGGGAGCGAACAGGAU